CCUACGGGAGGCAGCAGUAGGGAAUCUUCCACAAUGGGCGAAAGCCUGAUGGAGCAACGCCGCGUGGGUGAAGAAGGUCUUCGGAGCGUAAAACCCUGUUGUUAGAGAAGAAAGAGCGUGAGAGUAACUGUUCACGUUUCGAUGGUAUCUAACCAGAAAGCCACGGCUAACUCCGUGCCAGCAGCCGCGGUAAUACGUAGGUGGCAGGCGUUAUCCGGAUUUAUUGGGCGUAAAGGGAUCGUAGGCGGUCUUUUAAGUCUGAUGUGAAAGCCUUCGGCUUAACCGGAGUAGUGCAUUGGAAACUGGGAGACUUGAGUGCAGAAGGGGAGAGUGGAACUCAAGGUGUAGCGGUGAAAUGCGUAGAUAUAAGGAAGAACACCAGUGGCGAAGGCAACUCUCUGGUCUGUAACUGACGCUGAGGUUCGAAAGCGUGGGUAGCAAACAGGAUUAGAUACCCUAGUAGUC
rnacentral:rRNA from 1 species